UACGGAGGGGACUAGCGUUGUUCGGAAUUACUGGGCGUAAAGCGCACGUAGGCGGAUUUGUAAGUCAGGGGUGAAAUCCCGGGGCUCAACCUCGGAACUGCCUUUGAUACUGCGAAUCUCGAGUCCGGAAGAGGUGAGUGGAAUUCCUAGUGUAGAGGUGAAAUUCGUAGAUAUUAGGAAGAACACCAGUGGCGAAGGCGGCUCACUGGUCCGGUACUGACGCUGAGGUGCGAAAGCGUGGGGAGCAAACAGG
rnacentral:rRNA from 1 species